CUUCCGGCAGGGCAGCAGAAGACUUCCUGCAUCUGGGUGGGGUUAGGUCCAACUUGUUAGAAGGACAAGCACUUCUGGGCCAUUAGAUUAGGCCCAAUGCUGCCCCUUUUUCAGCUCUUCAGCCUCAGCCUCAGCUAAAGACUCUUAAAUUUUGAGCCAAGUCAACAGCGUCACUCACGGUGCCCUAGUCACAGCUCUAGUGGGACAAACUGAUCACAGAAGGUUCUCAUCUUUUUGCAGUUUGCUCUUUUACUGAUGAUACUCCUUUGGCCCGGAUCGAGUUCCAGCGACCUGGACUUAAAACAUGACACAGGUUCAACAUAGUGACCAUGGAAAAACCUGACGAUAUCAAGAGUGAUAACAACUGAGAGAAAUAGGAUUCCUACACUGCUGUCAGGUUGUGAAUUAAUGUGGCUACCCUAGAAAGCAUAAAACUGAAAGUGUGCUUUACUUUUGACCCAGCAGUUCCAUUGUUGGAUAUUACUUAAACUAUCAGUAUUAUUUGCUAACUGCUACAUCAUUUGUUGCAAAAAACCUCCUAAAUUCCUAGUUCAUACCAUAUAUGACAUAAAACCAUC